rnacentral:rRNA from 1 species
AAAAAUAUUACUUUGCUUCCUAUGACUCCUGAUUUCAUUUUGAAAGAUGAUAUUAAUAGAGCUAAUAAAGCACAACAGGAGAAGAAUAAGAGUGAAAAUCAUAUUGUGGCAAAAGAAUUUGAGCAACAAAUGAAGCCUAAUAAUAAACCAUCUAGUGUUGCUUCUGAAAUUAAAUUGAAAAGUGCAUGUUUAUUUGCCACCAAAUCUGAUAUUGAUGAGCUAGAUUUCAGCAAAUCUGUUUGCUAUGCUUUUGUGUGCAAAGAGGCAUUAUUUUCAUUCAAGGACGUGCCUUCCUCUUUGCCUCCUGCUGUCACUAACAUUUUGCAGGAGUUCGCUGACGUUUUUCCACAAGACGUGCCACCGGGAUUACCGCCUAUUCGAGGCAUUGAG